rnacentral:tRNA from 1 species
GGAACUGUUGCGCCAGUUCAGUGACAUUCGGCUCUCAACCGAAACAAUGUUGGUUCGAAUCCAACCCGCUCCA